rnacentral:rRNA from 1 species
CUACGGAGGGUGCAAGCGUUAAUCGGAAUUACUGGGCGUAAAGCGCGCGUAGGCGGUUUGGUAAGUCGGAUGUGAAAGCCCCGGGCUCAACCUGGGAAUUGCAUUCGAUACUGCCAGACUAGAGUAUGGUAGAGGGAAGUGGAAUUCCGGGUGUAGCGGUGAAAUGCGUAGAUAUCCGGAGGAACACCAGUGGCGAAGGCGACUUCCUGGACCAAUACUGACGCUGAGGUGCGAAAGCGUGGGGAGCAAACAGGAUUAGAAACCCCAGUAGUCC